rnacentral:rRNA from 2 species
CGGAGCCAUCCUUGAAAUACCACCCUUUAACGUUUGAUGUUCUAACCCGGGUCCAUAAUCUGGAUCGGGGACCGUGUCUGGUGGGUAGUUUGACUGGGGCGGUCUCCUCCCAAAGAGUAACGGAGGAGCACGAAGGUUGGCUAAGCAUGGUCGGACAUCAUGCGGUUAGUGCAAAGGCAUAAGCCAGCUUGACUGCGAGAGUGACGGCUCGAGCAGGUACGAAAGUAGGUCUUAGUGAUCCGGUGGUUCUGAAUGGAAGGGCCAUCGCUCAACGGAUAAAAGGUACUCCGGGGAUAACAGGCUGAUACCGCCCAAGAGUUCAUAUCGACGGCGGUGUUUGGCACCUCGAUGUCGGCUCAUCACAUCCUGGGGCUGAAGUAGGUCCCAAGGGUAUGGCUGUUCGCCAUUUAAAGUGGUACGCGAGCUGGGUUUAGAACGUCGUGAGACAGUUCGGUCCCUAUCUGCCGUGGGCGCUGGAAGAUUGAGAGGGGUUGCUCCUAGUACGAGAGGACCGGAGUGAACGCACCACUGGUGUACGGGUUGUGAUGCCAAUUGCAUUGCCCGGUAGCUAAGUGCGGAAGAGAUAACCGCUGAAAGCAUCUAAGCGGGAAACUUGCCUCGAGAUGAGUCUUCCCUGACCCUUUAAGGGUCCUGAAGGAACGUUUGAGACUAAGACGUUGAUAGGCUGGGUGUGUAAGCGCAGCGAUGCGUUGAGCUGACCAGUACUAAUGAACCGUGAGGCUUAACCUGACAACACCGAAGGUGUUU